rnacentral:rRNA from 1 species
UACAGAGGUCCCGAGCGUUGUUCGGAUUUAUUGGGCGUAAAGGGUGCGUAGGCGGCGGAGUAAGUUGGGUGUGAAAUCCCGGGGCUUAACCUCGGAAUGGCAUUCAAUACUGCUUCGCUCGAGUACUGGAGAGGAGGCUGGAAUUUACGGUGUAGCAGUGAAAUGCGUAGAUAUCUGGAGGAAUACCGGUGGCGAAGGCGGCAUCCUGGACCGGCAUUGACGCUGAGGAGCGAAAGCCAGGGGAGCAA